rnacentral:rRNA from 1 species
UACGUAGGGGGCAAGCGUUGUCCGGAUUUAUUGGGCGUAAAGCGCGUGUAGGCGGCCACACAGGUCCGUUGUGAAAACUCGAGGCUUAACCUCGAGACGUCGAUGGAAACCGUAUGGCUAGAGUCCGGAAGAGGAGAGUGGAAUUCCUGGUGUAGCGGUGAAAUGCGCAGAUAUCAGGAAGAACACCCGUGGCGAAGGCGGCUCUCUGGGCCGAUAUUGACGCUGAGGAGCGAAAGCGUGGGGAGCGAACAGG